GAUGAACGCUGGCGGCGUGCCUAAUACAUGCAAGUCGAGCGAACAGACGAGGAGCUUACUCCUCUGACGUUAGCGGCGGACGGGUGAGUAACACGUGGAUAACCUACCUAUAAGACAGGGAUAACUUCGGGAAACCGGAUCUAAUACCGGAUAACAUGUUGAACCGCAUGGUUCAACAGUGAAAUACGGUCUUGCUGUCACUUAUAGAUGGAUCCGCGUCGCAUUAGAUAGUUUGUAAGGUAACGCCUUACCAAGGCAACGAUGCGUAGCCGACCUGAGAGGGUGAUCGGCCACACUGGAACUGAGACACGGUCCAGACUCCUACGGGAGGCAGCAGUAGGGAAUCUUCCGCAAUGGGCGAAAGCCUGACGGAGCAACGCCGCGUGAGUGAAGAAGGUCUUCGGAUCGUAAAACUCUGUUAUUAGGGAAGAACAAAUGUGUAAGUAACUAUGCACGUAUUGACGGUACCUAAUCAGAAAGCCACGGCUAACUACGUG
rnacentral:rRNA from 1 species